rnacentral:rRNA from 1 species
AGUAUUUUGACUAUACAAAGGUAUUGAAAUAAGAUUUUAAUUGAGUGCUAAGAGAAUGGAAUUACAGAGAAAUUCUUUCUUGGAUUCAAAAAUUGAAGUUAUUUUUGUAUGUGAAGAAACAACAAUAGAAAUUAAGGACAAGAAGACCCUAAGAAUUUUUUGAAAUUUAAGGAAUUUUUUCUAUAAAUUUCUUUAAUUGGGGCGAUUAAUAAAAAUUUUAAACUUUAUUUAAAAAAUAAAACGAACCAAUAUUAUUGGUAAUAUGAAAAAAAUACUCUAGGGAUAACAGCGUAAUAAUUUUAGAUAGUUCUUAUAGACAAAAUAGUUUGCGACCUCGAUGUUGGAUUAGGAUACUUUUUUAAUGAAGAAGUUAAAAAAAGAAGUUUGUUCAACUUUUAAUCUCCU